UACCAGCACCCCGAGUGGUCGGGACGUUUUAUUGGGCCUAAAGCAUCCGUAGCCGGUUCUACAAGUCUUCCGUUAAAUCCAACUGCUUAACAGGUGGGCUGCGGAAGAUACUAUAGAGCUAGGAGGCGGGAGAGGCAAGCGGUACUCGAUGGGUAGGGGUAAAAUCCGUUGAUCCAUUGAAGACCACCAGUGGCGAAGGCGGCUUGCCAGAACGCGCUCGACGGUGAGGGAUGAAAGCUGGGGGGAGCAAACCGGAUUAAGAAACCCCCGAGUAGUCC
rnacentral:rRNA from 1 species